GAUGAAUAACGUAGCGAAAUGCGAUACUUGGUGUGAAUUGCAGAAUCCCGUGAACCAUCGAGUCUUUGAACGCAAGUUGCGCCCGAAGCCAUUAGGCCGAGGGCACGCCUGCCUGGGCGUCACACGUCGUUGCCCCCCCAUCUACUCCUUCGGGAUUGCGGGGGGCGGAUGAUGGCCUCCCGUGCGCCUCGUCGCGCGGUUGGCAUAAAUGCCAAGUCCUCGGCGACGCACGCCACGACAAUCGGUGGUUGCGAAACCUCGGUUGCCCGUCGUGUGCGGUCGUCGCGCAUCGAGGGCUCGAAAAAAUUGUCGGGCUCCGGCUCGGCUUUCAACGCGACCCCAGGUCAGGCGGGGUUACCCGCUGAAUUUAAGCAUAUCAAUAAGCGGAGGA
rnacentral:misc_RNA from 1 species